GAUGAACGCUGACAGAAUGCUUAACACAUGCAAGUCAACUUGAACUUCGGUUUGGGUGGCGGACGGGUGAGUAACGCGUAAAGAACUUGCCUCACAGUUAGGGACAACAUUUGGAAACGAAUGCUAAUACCUGAUAUUAUGAUUUUAGGACAUCCUAGAAUUAUGAAAGCUAUAUGCGCUGUGAGAGAGCUUUGCGUCCCAUUAGCUAGUUGGAGAGGUAACGGCUCACCAAGGCGAUGAUGGGUAGCCGGCCUGAGAGGGUGAUCGGCCACAAGGGGACUGAGACACGGCCCUUACUCCUACGGGAGGCAGCAGUGGGGAAUAUUGGACAAUGGACCAAGAGUCUGAUCCAGCAAUUCUGUGUGCACGAUGAAGCUUUUCGGAAUGUAAAGUGCUUUCAGUUGGGAAGAAAAAAAUGACGGUACCAACAGAAGAAGCA
rnacentral:rRNA from 1 species